rnacentral:rRNA from 1 species
UACGUAGGGCGCAAGCGUUGUCCGGAAUUAUUGGGCGUAAAGAGCUCGUAGGCGGUUUGUUGCGUCUGUCGUGAAAGCCCACAGCUUAACUGUGGGUCUGCGGUGGAUACGGGCAGACUAGAGGCAGGUAGGGGGAGAAUGGAAUUCCCGAUGGUGAGCGGUGAAAUGCGUAGAUAUCGGAGGAACACCGGUGGCGAAGGCGGUC